CUACCACGCGAGUGGAUGCCAAUCCCUAAAACCCCUCUCAGUUCGGACUGGAGUCUGCAACCCGACUCCACGAAGCUGGAAUCGCUAGUAAUCGCGGAUCAGCACGCCGCGGUGAAUACGUUCCCGGGCCUUGUACACACCGCCCGUCACACCAUGAGAGUCUGUAACACCCAAAGCCGGUGGGAUAACCUUUAUAGGAGUCAGCCGUCUAAGGUAGGACAGAUGAUUAGGGUGAAGUCGUAACAAGGUAUC
rnacentral:rRNA from 1 species